CUUGAACGCUGGCGGCGGGCCUAACACAUGCAAGUCGAACGAGUGGCGGACGGGUGAGUAAUGUCUGGGACACUGCCUGAUGGAGGGGCAUAACUACUGGAAACGGUAGCUAAUACCGCAUACCAUCAGAUGUGCCCAGAUGGGAAUACCUAGUUGGUGGGGUAACGGCUCACCCGGGCGACGAUCCCUAGCUGGUCUGAGAGGAUGACCAGCCACACUGGAACUGAGACCCGGUCCAGUCUCCUACGGGAGGCAGCAGUGGGGAAGAUUGUACAAUGGGCGCAAGCCUGUUGCAGCCAUGCCGCGUGGAUCAAGAAGGCCUUCGGGGUGUAAAGUACUUUCAGCGGGGAGGCGUUACCCGCAGAAGGAGCACCGGCUAACGCCGUGCCAGCCGCCGCGGUAAUAC
rnacentral:rRNA from 1 species